rnacentral:rRNA from 1 species
UACGUAGGUGGCGAGCGUUGUCCGGAAUUACUGGGUGUAAAGGGAGCGUAGGCGGGAGUGCAAGUUGAAUGUUAAAUCUAUCGGCUCAACCGAUAGCCGCGUUCAAAAAUGCAUUUCUUGAGUGAAGUAGAGGUUGGCGGAAUUCCUAGUGUAGCGGUGAAAUGCGUAGAUAUUAGGAGGAACACCAGUGGCGAAGGCGGCCAACUGGGCUUUACUGACGCUGAGGCUCGAAAGCGUGGGGAGCAAACAGGAUUAGAUACCCGGGUAGUCCCUGAG